rnacentral:rRNA from 1 species
GACGAACGCUGGCGGCGUGCUUAACACAUGCAAGUCGAACGGAAAGGCCCCCUUGUGGGGUACUCGAGUGGCGAACGGGUGAGUAACACGUGAGUAACCUACCCUUGACUUUGGGAUAACUUCAGGAAACUGGGGCUAAUACCGGAUAGGAGCUCCUGCUGCAUGGUGGGGGUUGGAAAGUUUCGGCGGUUGGGGAUGGGCUCGCGGCUUAUCAGCUUGUUGGUGGGGUAGUGGCUCACCAAGGCUUUGACGGGUAGCCGGCCUGAGAGGGUGACCGGCCACAUUGGGACUGAGAUACGGCCCAGACUCCUACGGGAGGCAGCAGUGGGGAAUAUUGCACAAUGGGCGGAAGCCUGAUGCAGCAACGCCGCGUGCGGGAUGACGGCCUUCGGGUUGUAAACCGCUUUCGCCUGUGACGAAGCGUGAGCGACGGUAAUGGGUAAAGAAGCACCGGCUAACUACGUG